UACGAAGGGGGCUAGCGUUGCUCGGAUUGACUGGGCGUAAAGGGCGCGUAGGCGGUUCGUACAGUCAGACGUGAAAUUCCUGGGCUCAACCUGGGGGCUGCGUUUGAUACGUGCGGACUUGAGUGCGGAAGAGGGUCGUGGAAUUCCCAGUGUAGAGGUGAAAUUCGUAGAUAUUGGGAAGAACACCGGUGGCGAAGGCGGCGACCUGGUCCGAUACUGACGCUGAGGCGCGAAAGCGUGGGGGGCAAACAGG
rnacentral:rRNA from 1 species